rnacentral:rRNA from 1 species
AAUCAACGCUGGCGGCGUGCCUCAGACAUGCAAGUCGAACGAUUAAAGCUCUCUUCGGAGAGUGCAUAGAGUGGCGCACGGGUGAGUAACACGUAAGUAAUCUACCUUCGAGUGGGGAAUAACGUCCGGAAACGGGCGCUAAUACCGCAUAAUGCAGCGGCAUCGCAAGAUGACAGUUGUUAAAGGAGCAAUCCGCUUGAAGAGGAGCUUGCGGCAGAUUAGCUAGUUGGUAGGGUAAUGGCCUACCAAGGCUACGAUCUGUAACCGGUCUUAGAGGACGGUCGGUCACACUGACACUGAAUAACGGGUCAGACUCCUACGGGAGGCGGCAGUCGGGAAUUUUGGGCAAUGGGGGAAACCCUGACCCAGCAACGCCGCGUGAAGGAUGAAGUAUUUCGGUAUGUAAACUUCGAAAGAAUAGGAAGAAUUAAUGACGGUACUAUUUAUAAGGUCCGGCUAACUACGUGCCAAGCAGCCGCGGUAAAGUCGAUAUCG